UUUUACGUGCUCUUAUCUGUCUUCGUUUUCUUUGAUUUUGAUUAAUGCAGACUAUGUACGAGGAACCAUCUUGGGUUACAAUAGGUCCAAGUCGAACCAGUAUCCAUACACUUCUUUGAUCCAGAUUGACGGGGUUAACACCAAGGAGGAAGUAGCUUCGUAUGCUGGCAAGCGUAUGGCUUAUAUCUACAAGGCUAAAGUGAAGAAGAAUGGCUCACACUAUCGCUGCUUUUGAUUUUACAUGUAUAUUUCGUUUCCUUUGCAGGGAGAUAGAGUCAGAGUCUUCAUGUACCCUAGCAGUAUACGAAGGUGAAACGAGUUUUCAUCUAUUUGGUAUUAUCAUGUGCGUUUCAGCUACAGCUGCAAGAGCUCUCAAGUCGGUUUUACAAGAAGGAGAGAAACUAAAUUCAAUGAACCUCCUCCUCUACAUGGCUCCCAUAAUUGUUGUGUUUCUACUUCCCACAACUCUCAUUAUGGAAGAAAAUGUGGCCGUACCACCCUUGCGCUUGACCGAGAUGAUGUCAAGAUCAUUCUCUUGUUAAAUUCAGCAGUAGCAUAUUUUGUGAAUUUGACCAACUUUUUGGUCACGAAACACACCGAUGCGCUCACUUUACAGGUUCUAGGAAAUGCAAAAGGAGCCGUAGCUGUGGUGGUUUCUAUUUUAAUUUUCAGAAACCCAGUUUCUGUUACUGGAAUGCUUGGUUAUACACUCACAGUCUUUGGGGUUAUACUUUAUGCUGAAGCCAAUAAACAAAGUAGUAAAUGAGACAUCAUCCUGCGGACACGAUAUGCAUGUGACCGUUCGUUCAUAUAUUGUGUUUAUUUUAUUGAAAGGACACAGCAACAUCGAAAUAGGCAAGUAAGGGCCAUGUUAGAUUCAUUUUCUGUCCCCUGGAAGCCUAGGAAACAUUGUCUUUCUUUUGUGUAUCAGAACCGACUGCAGGAUUGGUAAGAACUAUAGAGAACUCCAAUAAUUGACUGGUUGGUAUUUCUAUUAUUCCCA